UUCCGGUUGAUCCUGCCGGACCCCACUGCUAUCGAGAUGGGACUAAGGUAUGCUAGUCGAACGACCAGAACUAUGUCUGGAAGUGGCACACUGCUCAGUAACACGUAGCUAACCUACCCUUAGGACGUGGAUACCCCCGAGAAAUUGGGGUUAAUCCGCGAUAGGUGUAAUGUCCUGGAAUGGUAUUACGCCUAAAGGUGUAUCAUACAUGUUUGAUAUACGCCUAAGGAUGGGGCUGCGGCCUAUCAGGCUGUUGGUGAGGUAAUGGCUCACCAAACCUUUGACCGGUACGGGCCAUGAGAGUGGUAGCCCGGAGAUGGACACUGAGACAAGGGUCCAGGCCCUAAGGGGCGCAGCAACCGCGAAACCUCCACAAUGCACUCACGUGCGAUGGGGCUAUCUCGAGUGCCACCUGAUGAAGGUGGCUUUUCCUAGGUCUUCAAAGCCUUGGGAAUAAGAGGGGGGCAAGACUGGUGUCAGCCGCCGCGGUAACACCAGCCCCUCGAGUGGUGGGGAUGAUUAUUUGGCCUAAAGCGUCCGUAGCCGGCCGAGCAAGUCUUCCGUUAAAUCCAGCGUCUCAAGCGUUGGACUGCGGGAGAUACUACACGGCUAGAGAGUGGGAGAGGUCAGCGGUAUUCUGGGGGUAGGGGCGAAAUCCUUUGAUCCCCGGAGGACCACCAGUGGCGAAGGCUGCUGACUAGAACACGUCUGACGGUCAGGGACGAAAGCUGGGGUAGCGAACCGGAUUAGAUA
rnacentral:rRNA from 1 species